AUGAUGGCCAGUGAUUCAAUAGCCAUAGAAUUAUUUGGUGCAUUCACAUCAACUAGUUCAAUGGUCAUGAAAAUAACACAGAGGAUCACUGCUGUCAAAAGCUUUCGCAUGGAAGUUGAACGUUCUUUGGAAUCCUUUGAGAUGGAUCCGGCAUCUGAGAACUUCACAUGUUGCUUCCCCACAAAUUUUCCUUGCUACAUCAGGAAGAUUCCUACUGACUUUAAUAAUUUGUGUAGUUUUAUUUUUAUGUGUUUGAUACACUUUGAAUGUAGUAAUAUUUGGUUUCUUUUCUUUUGGAAAAUAGUGAUGAAAAUUGGAAUGAGAUUUGCAGUCUUCUUGUAA